rnacentral:rRNA from 1 species
CGCGUAGGCGGGUCUGUAAGUCAGAGGUGAAAUACUGCGGCUUAACCGUAGAACUGCCUUUGGUACUGCAGAUCUUGAGUUCGGAAGAGAGAGGCGGAAUUCCAGGUGUAGUGGUGAAAUACGUAGAUAUCUGGAAGAACACCAGAGGCGAAGGCGGUCUCUUGGUCCGUAACUGACGCUGAGGCGCGAAAGCGUGGGGAGCAAACAGGAUUAGAUACCCUGGUAGUCC